GGCAUUUGUGUAUUGCACCGGAGACUGAAAGAAGGGUGAGGUUUUGGGGGCUCUGAUGUGCAAGAGGUGUGAACCAUACCCCUCCAGCGUAUCCAUUUUCCCAUCAGUUUCAUACUGUCUGUGAACUUUGGUGAAUCAUCAGUCUCUCUCUUCUGCAGUGUUGCCACCUUUAAAUGGCCCCUUACUCUCAUAAUCAGUGCUGAGUAGUGGCAAGGGGGAGAAAAUGGAAAAGUUGGCAUGGGAGAGAAGGCAGAUCCAGAAGAUAGGAUACAGCUCAGCCCUGAGAAUGUGGCCUGAUUUUCUCUUCUGUUAUUACAACUGCUCUUCUGCUUGAGUUUCUUCUACACCUUCAAGAUGGCUGAAGAACAAGACGCUUUCUCUCCAUGUCUAUGCUGUUUCACUAUGCUGCAAAUAUUCCCAGCCUUUUCCCCUUGAUGCCCAAAAUAAAUUCCUCAAAUACCCUGA
rnacentral:lncRNA from 1 species